AACGCUGGCGGCAGGCCUAACACAUGCAAGUCGAGCGGUAACAGAGAGUAGCUUGCUACUUUGCUGACGAGCGGCGGACGGGUGAGUAAUGCUUGGGAACAUGCCUUGAGGUGGGGGACAACAGUUGGAAACGACUGCUAAUACCGCAUAAUGUCUACGGACCAAAGGGGGCUUCGGCUCUCGCCUUUAGAUUGGCCCAAGUGGGAUUAGCUAGUUGGUGAGGUAAUGGCUCACCAAGGCGACGAUCCCUAGCUGGUUUGAGAGGAUGAUCAGCCACACUGGGACUGAGACACGGCCCAGACUCCUACGGGAGGCAGCAGUGGGGAAUAUUGCACAAUGGGCGCAAGCCUGAUGCAGCCAUGCCGCGUGUGUGAAGAAGGCCUUCGGGUUGUAAAGCACUUUCAGUCAGGAGGAAAGGUUAGUAGUUAAUACCUGCUAGCUGUGACGUUACUGACAGAAGAAGCACCGGCUAACUCCGUGCCAGCAGCCGCGGUAAUACGGAGGGUGCGAGCGUUAAUCGGAAUUACUGGGCGUAAAGCGUACGCAGGCGGUUUGUUAAGCGAGAUGUGAAAGCCCCGGGCUCAACCUGGGAACUGCAUUUCGAACUGGCAAACUAGAGUGUGAUAGAGGGUGGUAGAAUUUCAGGUGUAGCGGUGAAAUGCGUAGAGAUCUGAAGGAAUACCGAUGGCGAAGGCAGCCACCUGGGUCAACACUGACGCUCAUGUACGAAAGCGUGGGGAGCAAACGGGAUUAGAUACCCCGGUAGUCCACGCCGUAAACGAUGUCUACUAGAAGCUCGGAGCCUCGGUUCUGUUUUUCAAAGCUAACGCAUUAAGUAGACCGCCUGGGGAGUACGGCCGCAAGGUUAAAACUCAAAUGAAUUGACGGGGGCCCGCACAAGCGGUGGAGCAUGUGGUUUAAUUCGAUGCAACGCGAAGAACCUUACCUACACUUGACAUACAGAGAACUUACCAGAGAUGGUUUGGUGCCUUCGGGAGCUCUGAUACAGGUGCUGCAUGGCUGUCGUCAGCUCGUGUUGUGAGAUGUUGGGUUAAGUCCCGCAACGAGCGCAACCCCUAUCCUUAGUUGCUAGCAGGUAAUGCUGAGAACUCUAAGGAGACUGCCGGUGAUAAACCGGAGGAAGGUGGGGGACGACGUCAAGUCAUCAUGGCCCUUACGUGUAGGGCUACACACGUGCUACAAUGGCGCAUACAGAGUGCUGCGAACUCGCGAGAGUAAGCGAAUCACUUAAAGUGGCGUCGUAAUUCCGGGAAUUGGAGUCUGCAACUCGACUCCAUGAAGUCGGAAUCGCUAGUAAUCGCGUAUCAGAAAUGACGCGGUGAAUACGUUCCCGGGCCUUGUACACACCGCCCGUCAACCAUGGGGAAGUGGGUUGCUCCAGAAGUAGAUAGUCUAACCCUCGGGGAGGACGUUUACCACGGAGUGAUUCAUGACUGGGGU
rnacentral:rRNA from 1 species